GACGAACGCUGGCGGCGUGCUUAACACAUGCAAGUCGAACGGAAAGGCCCUGCUUUUGUGGGGUGCUCGAGUGGCGAACGGGUGAGUAACACGUGAGUAACCUGCCCUUGACUUUGGGAUAACUUCAGGAAACUGGGGCUAAUACCGGAUAGGAGCGCCUGCUGCAUGGUGGGGGUUGGAAAGUUUCGGCGGUUGGGGAUGGACUCGCGGCUUAUCAGCUUGUUGGUGGGGUAGUGGCUUACCAAGGCUUUGACGGGUAGCCGGCCUGAGAGGGUGACCGGCCACAUUGGGACUGAGAUACGGCCCAGACUCCUACGGGAGGCAGCAGUGGGGAAUAUUGCACAAUGGGCGGAAGCCUGAUGCAGCAACGCCGCGUGCGGGAUGACGGCCUUCGGGUUGUAAACCGCUUUCGCCUGUGACGAAGCGUGAGUGACGGUAAUGGGUAAAGAAGCACCGGCUAACUACGUGCCAGCAGCCGCGGUGAUACGUAGGGUGCGAGCGUUGUCCGGAUUUAUUGGGCGUAAAGGGCUCGUAGGUGGUUGAUCGCGUCGGAAGUGUAAUCUUGGGGCUUAACCCUGAGCGUGCUUUCGAUACGGGUUGACUUGAGGAAGGUAGGGGAGAAUGGAAUUCCUGGUGGAGCGGUGGAAUGCGCAGAUAUCAGGAGGAACACCAGUGGCGAAGGCGGUUCUCUGGGCCUUUCCUGACGCUGAGGAGCGAAAGCGUGGGGAGCGAACAGGCUUAGAUACCCUGGUAGUCCACGCUGUAAACGGUGGGUACUAGGUGUGGGGUCCAUUCCACGGGUUCCGUGCCGUAGCUAACGCUUUAAGUACCCCGCCUGGGGAGUACGGCCGCAAGGCUAAAACUCAAAGGAAUUGACGGGGCCCCGCACAAGCGGCGGAGCAUGCGGAUUAAUUCGAUGCAACGCGUAGAACCUUACCUGGGUUUGACAUGGAUCGGGAGCGCUCAGAGAUGGGUGUGCCUCUUUUGGGGUCGGUUCACAGGUGGUGCAUGGCUGUCGUCAGCUCGUGUCGUGAGAUGUUGGGUUAAGUCCCGCAACGAGCGCAACCCUUGUUCACUGUUGCCAGCACGUUAUGGUGGGGACUCAGUGGAGACCGCCGGGGUCAACUCGGAGGAAGGUGGGGAUGACGUCAAGUCAUCAUGCCCCUUAUGUCCAGGGCUUCACGCAUGCUACAAUGGCUGGUACAGAGAGUGGCGAGCCUGUGAGGGUGAGCGAAUCUCGGAAAGCCGGUCUCAGUUCGGAUUGGGGUCUGCAACUCGACCUCAUGAAGUCGGAGUCGCUAGUAAUCGCAGAUCAGCAACGCUGCGGUGAAUACGUUCCCGGG
rnacentral:rRNA from 1 species